CCUACGGGAGGCAGCAGUGGGGAAUAUUGCGCAAUGGGCGAAAGCCUGACGCAGCGACGCCGCGUGGGGGAUGAAGGUCUUCGGAUCGUAAACCUCUGUCAGCAGGGAAGAACGGUAACUGUGCUAAUCAGCAGUGAAUUGACGGUACCUGCAAAGGAAACACAGGCUAACUCCGUGCCAGCAGCCGCGGUAAUAAGGAGGGGGCGAGCGUUUAUCGGAAUUACUGGGCGUAAAGGGCUCGUAGGCAGUAGGUCAAGUCAAGGGUGAAAUCCCCGCGCUCAACGUGGUAACUGCCUUUGAAACUGGCAAACUGGAGUGUGUGAGAGGAUAGUGUAAUUCCAGGUGUAGGAGUGAAAUCCGUAGAUAUCUGGAGGAACAUCAGUGGCGAAGGCGACUAUCUGGCACAUAACUGACGCUGAGGAGCGAAAGCGUGGGUAGCAAACAGGAUUAGAUACCCGGGUAGUC
rnacentral:rRNA from 1 species